UUCUGUUUAGCCCAAAGCCACGCCUUCCUUUGAUACAAACUGCAGAAGCGCGAUACAGCAGUCAAGAUUCGCACGUUGUAAUGAAAACCUGAUUGCUUCCCUUCUCUUAAAGUUACUCGGCCUGGAGUGCACCUCAAUCAAAAGGAAAGGCGUUCGACGACAUUCUACUCGCGAUUGACUUCUUGGCUUACCCAAGAAGGGCCCGUAACGCCCGAGUCCGCCUUCGGAUUCACUCACUUUAGCUAAGGCAUCAAACAAGCCACCACGGAGAAUGUCUAACGUGUCUGUACGGGCGAUGAACCUGGUUUGGACAGCAAAGCUGUUAUCUUUAUUUCUUCGGAAAGAGACGAUAGUAAUCAGAAGAAUAGAAGCUGCUACAAGUGUGAAAGCUUUUGCAUUUCGUCGAAGUUUGAACGCCAUGUUUGGCUCGCGAAUUUCUUUGACGAAAAUGUUCGAUUGGUACAUGUGAAGCGAUACAUGGCGAGGGACUUUAAAUAUUUUUUAAACUAUUAUAAUGCAAAUUUUUGAAGACAAAUAGUAUUGAAAAGUUUUUUUUUUAAUCUUCCAAGCUAUAAUGCGUUACGUGGACAUUGUCUGUUGUUUCAAUUGUGGUAUGAAUUAUGCUGCUGGCAGUGAUUUUAGCCUGAUUUUAUACCAAUUUGUUUUUGUACAAAUGUCAAGGGUUGAGAAAGUUUAAACACGUGAAGUCUGUAAACCAAGGACAGGGGUUUACGUCGAGGAUAAUAUUUCAAUAACUGCCAAAUCGAGAAGCGAUGUUAGGGACUUUAAGAUGCGACAACAGCUACGGCUAGGAUGGAUGACCGAGAUAACACUUUACAGUGAGGACACAGAAAACGGGCCAUGCUGAACAGCUUUGACCAAUCAGAAUCGGCUUCACCAUAAACAUUAAAGUUCAGCCAAUGUGAAACGGCGGACGUUGUUUAUUUGACCUCGUACGUGUAGUCGACCAUUUUUGUCCGUCGAUUGAGCGUGGAAACACCCUAACCUGAUUGGCUAGAAAUUAUUUUUCGAAAUGUUUACGGUGUUUAAGCCGAAUAUGAUUGGUCAAAGUCGUUCAGCAUGGCCCGCUUUCUGUGUCCUCACUGUAACGCUUGGCGACAAAUUCAACAAUAGUUUCGAUGAAAUUACCUAGACUUUAUAUUCAGAAACAAACUGAAAUUUACCGUAAACUUUAUUUCUAGAAUAAGAAACAGAGACAGGUGAAUAUAUACUCCACCCGGCCACGUACUCGCCAGACCGUAAAACUUGAAAUUUCACGUCGUGUUUUGGCGGAGAACGGUUGGAAAUCUAUCAGACAGAACGCAUUUUCACGUGCAGCCUUUCAAUUCUCAAUUUAAAUACAUUGUUUUCUACCGUCA